GCAGCCGCGGUAAUACGUAGGUGGCGAGCGUUGUCCGGAAUUAUUGGGCGUAAAGGGAGCGCAGGCGGGAAGGUAAGUCUAUCUUAAAAGUGCGGGGCUCAACCCCGUGAGGGGAUGGAAACUAUCUUUCUUGAGUGCAGGAGAGGAAAGCGGAAUUCCUAGUGUAGCGGUGAAAUGCGUAGAUAUUAGGAGGAACACCAGUGGCGAAGGCGGCUUUCUGGACUGUAACUGACGCUGAGGCUCGAAAGCGUGGGGAGCGA
rnacentral:rRNA from 1 species